AGAGUUUGAUCCUGGCUCAGAUUGAACGCUAGCGGGAUGCCUUACACAUGCAAGUCGAACGGCAGCACGGACUUCGGUCUGGUGGCGAGUGGCGAACGGGUGAGUAAUGUAUCGGAACGUGCCCAGUAGCGGGGGAUAACUACGCGAAAGCGUGGCUAAUACCGCAUACGCCCCACGGGGGAAAGCAGGGGAUCGCAAGACCUUGCACUAUUGGAGCGGCCGAUAUCGGAUUAGCUAGUUGGUGGGGUAACGGCUCACCAAGGCGACGAUCCGUAGCUGGUUUGAGAGGACGACCAGCCACACUGGGACUGAGACACGGCCCAGACUCCUACGGGAGGCAGCAGUGGGGAAUUUUGGACAAUGGGCGCAAGCCUGAUCCAGCCAUGCCGCGUGCAGGAUGAAGGCCUUCGGGUUGUAAACUGCUUUUGUACGGAACGAAAAA
rnacentral:rRNA from 1 species